rnacentral:rRNA from 1 species
AGAGUUUGAUCAUGGCUCAGAACGAACGCUGGCGGCAUGCCUCAUACAUGCAAGUCGAACGAGGUCUUCGGACCUAGUGGCGCACGGGUGAGUAACAUGUGGGAAUCUACCUAAAGGUUCGGAAUAACUGCGGGAAACUGUAGCUAAUACCGGAUGUGUCUGCAAAGAGAAAGAUUUAUCGCCUUUAGAUGAGCCCGCACUAGAUUAGCUAGUUGGUGAGGUAAUUGCUCCACCAAGGCUACGAUCUAUAGCUGAUUUGAGAGGAUGAUCAGCCACACUGGGACUGAGACACGGCCCAGACUCCUACGGGAGGCAGCAGUAGGGAAUAUUGGACAAUGGGGGAAACCCUGAUCCAGCAAUGCCGCGUGAGUGAAGAAGGCCCUCGGGUUGUAAAACUCUUUCAUCAAUGAUGAUAAUGACAUUAGUUGAAGAAGAAGCUCCGGCUAACUUCGUGCCAGCAGCCGCGGUAAUACGAAGGGGGCUAGCGUUGUUCGGAAUCACUGGGCGUAAAGCGUAUGUAGGCGGAUCAAAAAGUUAGAUGUGAAAUCCCUGGGGCUCAACCCAGGAACUGCAUUUAAAACUAGUGAUCUAGAAUUUGGUAAGGGUUAGUAGAAUUUCCAGUGUAGAGGUGAAAUUCGUAGAUAUUGGAAAGAAUACCAGAAGCGAAGGCGACUAACUAGGCCAUUUUUGACGCUGAGAUACGAAAGCGUGGGUAGCAAACAGGAUUAGAUACCCUGGUAGUCCACGCAGUAAACGAUGAGUGCUAGUCGCUGGUACAAUAGUAUCAGUGUCGUAGCUAACGCAUUAAGCACUCCGCCUGGGAAGUACGGUCGCAAGAUUAAAACUCAAAUAAAUUGACGGGGGCCCGCACAAGCGGUGGAGCAUGUGGUUUAAUUCGAAGCAACGCGAAGAACCUUACCAGACCUUGACAUGGUAUGUUUGAAUUACAGAAUCGUAAUUCUUCAGUUCGGCUGGCAUACACACAGGUGCUGCAUGGCUGUCGUCAGCUCGUGUCGUGAGAUGUUGGGUUAAGUCCCGCAACGAGCGCAACCCUCAUUUUUAGUUGCCAUCAGGUUAUGCUGGGCACUCUAGAAAAACUGCCGGUGAUAAGCUGGAGGAAGGCGGGGAUGACGUCAAGUCCUCAUGGCCCUUACGGUCUGGGCUACACACGUGCUACAAUGGUGGUGACAGAGGGCAGCAAUAUCGCAAGAUAAAGCUAAUCCCAAAAAACCAUCUCAGUUCGGAUUGGACUCUGCAACUCGAGUCCAUGAAGUUGGAAUCGCUAGUAAUCGUAGAUCAGCGUGCUACGGUGAAUACGUUCUCGGGCCUUGUAGA